UACGAGUGCCCCGAGCGUUAUCCGGAAUUAUUGGGCGUAAAGGGUGUGUAGGCGGUUUUGUUAGUCUUCUGUUAAAUAUCUCGGCUCAACCGAGAAAGUGCAGGGGGAAACGGCAAAUCUAGAGGAUGCGAGAGGUAUGCGGAACUCAUAGUGUAGGGGUGAAAUCCGUUGAUAUUAUGGGGAACACCAAAUGCGAAGGCAGCAUACUGGCGCAUUUCCUGACGCUGAAACACGAAAGCGUGGGGAAGCAAACAGGG
rnacentral:rRNA from 1 species